CCUACGGGUGACAGCAGUGAGGAAUAUUGGUCAAUGGGCGAGAGCCUGAACCAGCCAAGUCGCGUGAGGGAGUACUGCCCUAUGGGUUGUACACCUCUUUUGUCGGGGAGCAAAAGCCGGACGUGUCCGGCUGUGAGAGUACCCGAAGAAAAAGCAUCGGCUAACUCCGUGCCAGCAGCCGCGGUAAUACGGAGGAUGCGAGCGUUAUCCGGAUUUAUUGGGGUUAAAGGGUGCGCAGGCGGAUUUUUAAGUCAGCGGUCAAAUCGUGGGGCUCAACCCCAUCCAGCCGUUGAAACUGGGGAUCUAGAGUGUGCGAGAGGUAUGCGGAAUGCGUGGUGUAGCGGUGAAAUGCAUAGAUAUCACGCAGAACCCCGAUUGCGAAGGCAGCAUACCGGUGCACAACUGACGCUCAGGCACGAAAGCGUGGGUAUCGAACAGGAUUAGAUACCCUAGUAGUC
rnacentral:rRNA from 1 species